rnacentral:rRNA from 1 species
AGUGAACGCUGGCGGUAGGCCUAACACAUGCAAGUCGAACGGCAGCACAGUAAGAGCUUGCUCUUACGGGUGGCGAGUGGCGGACGGGUGAGGAAUACAUCGGAAUCUACUUUUUCGUGGGGGAUAACGUAGGGAAACUUACGCUAAUACCGCAUACGACCUACGUGUGAAAGCAGGGGAUCUUCGGACCUUGCGCGAUUGAAUGAGCCGAUGUCGGAUUAGCUAGUUGGCGGGGUAAAGGCCCACCAAGGCGACGAUCCGUAGCUGGUCUGAGAGGAUGAUCAGCCACACUGGAACUGAGACACGGUCCAGACUCCUACGGGAGGAAGCAGUGGGGAAUAUUGGACAAUGGGCGAAAGCCUGAUCCAGCCAUACCGCGUGGGUGAAGAAGGACUUCGGGUUGGAAAGCCCUUUUGUUGGGAAAGAAAAGCAGCAGGUUAAUACCCCGCUGUUCUGACGGUACCCAAAGAAUAAGCACCGGCUAACUUCGUG